CUGAUUCUGUGCUAAUGUUAUGAGCGCGGGUAAACCGAAGACUUGAAUGAAGGGCAAUCUGGCGAAACGACGAGGAGGAUUUACAAAAGG